rnacentral:rRNA from 1 species
GAUGAACGCUAGCUACAGGCUUAACACAUGCAAGUCGAGGGGUCUCGAGGAAGCUUGCUUUCGAGAGACGACCGGCGCACGGGUGAGUAACGCGUAUCCAACCUGCCCUUCAUAUUGGGAUAGCCUUCCGAAAGGAAGAUUAAUACCGAAUAACAUAGCGAGAUUGCCUGAUUUCUCUAUGAAAGCUCCGGCGAUGAAGGAUGGGGAUGCGUUCCAUUAGGUAGUAGGCGGGGUAACGGCCCACCUAGCCGACGAUGGAUAGGGGUUCUGAGAGGAAGGUCCCCCACACUGGAACUGAGACACGGUCCAGACUCCUACGGGAGGCAGCAGUGAGGAAUAUUGGUCAAUGGGCGCAAGCCUGAACCAGCCAAGUAGCGUGAAGGAAGACUGCCCUAUGGGUUGUAAACUUCUUUUAUACGGGAACAAACCCUGGUACGUGUACCAGAUUGCGUGUACCGUAUGAAUAAGCAUCGGCUAACUCCGUGCCAGCAGCCGCCGCAGUAA